ensembl:lncRNA
GUUUUUCCUUCCCACUGUCGCCAAAGUGCUUGCUCAUAGGGGUCAUAUGAUUGUUGGGUUUUUCUCUAUGAAGCGCCUUGAGGCGACUUUUGUUGUGAUUUGGCGCUAUAUAAAUAAAAUUGAAUUGAAUUGAAUUGAAAUUGUGUUUUGUUGGGGUUUUUUUUUUUUUACAAGUCUUUAUUCUAGCGAAAAAAUUACAAUACGGGUGGUGUCCAGCCAAAUGAGGCUUACAUCCCGGAUGUCAAACAUGAGCGCCAGCAGCCAGAAUCACUGCUUAAGAGUCCAAUUGGAUUGCUUUGGGAAAUCGGAACUGUACUUUUAUACAGUUAUCAUAAAUAUUAUUACCCCACAUAUACAAUUCAAAUUUUAUUUCUUGCAAUUUAAGUCCCAACAGACUUUUUUCCCCAUUUACUACAGAAUGUUGUUUAUCAUGUAGAUAAACUGAGACAAACAAAACUGCAUUUCUUUUUCUGAUAUUAAGAUAUUCCAGGGAUUAAAUGCAUAGUUAAACUUCUUUUCACUGACAGAAAGGGAAGUUUCGCUGGUCCGGCCCACUCAAGGUCAAAGGCUAUAUGUGACUCACAAUGUAAAAUGAGUUUGCAGUUUUGUUUUGUUUUUAAAAAAGCAUAAGUUUAAGAGCACAUUGUCAGCCCCAUUUCUUUAAAAAAAAAAAGUAAAUCAGAUUAUAUCAUAAACAAUAAAAUUCGUCAUUGUUUUGAAAUCUAAGGUGUUACUGUUUGUCAAAGUGUUGCAACAUGUUUAAGAUUUCCCAAGUUGGGUAGUUUUCCAGUGUAGCCUCAUGUGACCCCUGUUUUCAGAGUUGGUAAUGAUGUGUUGUGCAAGAUUUAUACUUGAGGGAAGAAAACUCAGUAUUCAAACACAUUUACUCCUUUUUCCAUAUACAUGCAACUCAGGAAUUUGAAUCAAAUGCUUACUCAAAUCAAAUCAAAAUCAAAUCAAAUCACUUUUAUUGUCACAUCACAUGUGCAGGCACACUGGCACAGCACAUGCGAGUGAAAUUCUUGUGUGCGAGCCCCACAAGCAACAGAGAUGUGCAAACACAACAACACAAACGAGCAAAAUACAAGAAUGGCCAAC